rnacentral:rRNA from 1 species
AUUGGACGCUGGCGGCAUGCUUUACACAUGCAAGUCGAACGGUAACAGGCCGCAAGGUGCUGACGAGUGGCGAACGGGUGAGUAAUGCAUCGGAACGUGCCCAGUCGUGGGGGAUAACGCAGCGAAAGCUGCGCUAAUACCGCAUACGAUCUAUGGAUGAAAGCGGGGGACCGUAAGGCCUCGCGCGAUUGGAGCGGCCGAUGUCAGAUUAGGUAGUUGGUGGGGUAAAGGCUCACCAAGCCAACGAUCUGUAGCUGGUCUGAGAGGACGACCAGCCACACUGGGACUGAGACACGGCCCAGACUCCGACGGGAGGCAGCAGUGGGGAAUUUUGGACAAUGGGCGCAAGCCUGAUCCAGCAAUGCCGCGUGCAGGAAGAAGGCCUUCGGGUUGUAAACUGCUUUUGUACGGAACGAAACGGCUCUGGUUAAUACCUGGGGCUAAUGACGGUACCGUAAGAAUAAGCACCGGCUAACUACGUGCCAGCCGCCGCGGUAA